rnacentral:lncRNA from 1 species
UCCCUACUAGUUUCUAACCACUUCAUUUAAUCCUACAUACCACAAACAAGAUAAUCUUUCUAAUGUCCUGUUCUGACCAAACCAUUUUCCUUCUUAAAAUCCUUCUUUGGCUUCCCACGAUCUACAGUCUAAAGUCUGAAAUCUAAAGUUUGUCAUUCCAGACCCUUGUUAUUCAAGCUUUAAUCUGUCUUUAUAGAUCUGUUUCAUACAUUUUCCCUUCAUACACACAUAUUCCAGCUGAACUAUAUUACCUACACACUACUGAAUUUAUCCCACACUUUCAUUGUGCUAUAAGUUCUGAGCCUUAAAUGUAUGCUUGGGUUUUCUAACUCUGGAGGUUGGAAGUCUUACCAUCCUCUGCCCUUGUAAUAAAUCCCCUCCACAUCUCUGUUGAAUCCUUCCCAUAUUUCUUGGCCCCAUAUUGCAGAUGCUUCACCUUAGACUAUUUCUUUAUCUGCCCAAAGAGAACUUCUGUCUCUCCUUCAAAUGUCUCAUCACAUUAGAUCAUUAUCACAUGCACUUGUCCCACUCUGUUGCAUUAUGAAGAUAUAUUUGUGUUUGCCAUCUUCCCCUUUUGUAAGCUCCUUCAGUAUAGGCUGUCCUUUUUGUCUUUGUUUGCACAACAAUGCCAAGCAACAUCUGUGCAAAACAGGUCAAUCUGUGGAGUGGUGAUAGAGAACUGGUCAUGGAUUCAAGUCCCACCUCUGAAACAUCCUUCUCCUGUGAUCCUAGCAUUUAUAUAACUAGGGCUUUGCUUACCCAGCAUGUGAAGACUGUUUCGGUGGAACAGGCAGAAGAAACCAAUAAGAAGGUUCAACAGCUGAGAUGGCGACGCAGCAAAGCACUGUGGAGUGCUUAGGGCGUGUUGGAGCACAAAAGACAACACGGCCAUCCAAUGCAGCUGAGGAAGUCUCCAGGUGUAACGACUUUUCGUGCCACUGGACCCAGGCUUCCAACGCCGAGAGAGUGGGACUGUCUCUGUGCAUCGACUCUUCCACUUAAAUCUUCAUGCACAAGUGUCUUUGUGCACAAAAACGCACAAAGACAAUCAUCAUCCUUGGUUCCCGAGAGACUACUACUAUAGCAUUUAUAGAUUAAUUAUAGAUUACAUUUUACGUAUAUAUGCA